rnacentral:lncRNA from 1 species
CCACGCUCUCGGCCGCGCGGCACGCUGGGAAACGUAGUUCAACAACGGAACGCGGCUUCUCGGAAAGGAAGAGGGACGGGGAAGGAGAUCUCCGGGGCGCCGCAGAGGCACAAAGCCAAGGGACACACGGGGCUGGAAUUCUGGUUCUGCCACCCAACCUAUUUGACCUUGGAUGAAUCAAAACCGUCUGAGCCUUAGCUUCCUCCUCCAUAAAAUGGGAGCUUUAAAAUCCACCUUAUAAAGCUGUUGUGAGGAGCAGACGUGAUCAUCUAUGGAGAGCAUGUAUAUUUGCUAAUAGACGAAAAAUGCGAUGAAUGAUUACAAUUAUAACCCAUGCAGUCAGCUAACAUUAGGGGCACUCCUUGCCAUUUCCUGUUGCUACCAUACUUUAUUAUUUUAAAGUGUAUUCCUGGUCAGGCAUGUGGCUCACACCCAUAAUCUCAGCACUUUGGGAAGCCAAGGCAGGAGGAUCACUUGAGGCCAGGAGAUUGAAACCAGCCUGGGCAACAUAACGAGACCCCUUCUCUACAAAGAAAUGAAAAAAUUAGUUGAGCUUAGUGGUGUGCACCUGUAGUCCCAGCUACUAGGGAGGCUGAGGCAGGAGGAUCACUUGAGCCCAGGAGUCUAAGGCUGCAGCGAGCUAUGAUCUCACCACUGCAGUCCAGCCUAGGUAACAGAGUGAGACCCCAUCUCUAAAGAAAAAAAUAAAGAAAAUGAAGCUAUU